GAAGGGAGAUCUGGAUGAAAAAGUUAGUAUUCAUUUUGUCAAUAAUUCCACGGGGACUCACCGUGAGAACACUGAGCUGCCAACCCUAACAGCAACUGAGAGAAGAAGACGUGUGCUUCUAUCUACAGGGAAGUGAGAGAGACCAUCAUGAAAUUGGACUUCAAGAACUGCCUGAGAAAGACACAGAAUCAUGGGAUAGGUUGAAAAUAAUGGAAUAAUUUCAGCACUGGAUGAUUUUCCCACAUGAAUAAAGACAUGGAAUCAACACAUUCAUCCUAAUCCCUGUGUGAGAGGCUGAGAGAAGUAUUUUUCUUUCCAAAAUUUCUGACUGAUAUGCAAACACAUUUCUGAUUUCGCCAGUGCCAAAAACCAGUAAAAGAAGAGCAUACGAAAGGAAAAGCUUCUACACUGCUAUCCAUUGCAUUUCUCAGCCCCAGCCCUAGUGGACCAGUCACCCUGUCUUCUCAUCUCUAAGAAUUGCUGUAUUUGGCUGACAAGACUGAGCGCUAUAAUCAUGGCCAGGUUUCAAAUGAUGCCUCUCUCAUGUCAAUUUGUGCUAUGCAGCAUAACACAGGCUGAAAGAAUGACUGCUUAUAACUCUUCAAUGACCUUGGACUUACCCACUCCAAUCUAUGUAUAAUUUUUCAAAAAUGAAUGUGUGAGGACUUUUAGUUUAAUCUCUAAAUGUAGAAGUUCUUUAUAUAGAAUAGAAAAUGUUCCUUAUAUAGAAUAAAAUGGAGCAUUUCUAGGUACCAAAAGGAAAAAAAAAAAAAAGAAAAUGUUCUACAAACUGAAAGUCAAUAAUUUUUCAUGAUUCUAUGGAAGAAUAAAAGUGGUAGGACACCCUGAUCCUGAGUAUGGAGAUGCCAAGGAUUCUAGAGAGCUUAGGUUCCAAUAACACCAUAGCAGUGAGUAAGCCACCAGAAGCAACAUAUAAAUGUGAAUCUUGGCCUGCCCUCCCCGCUCAACAAUGGACUCCAUCUCAGAGGGCAGCUGCUUCCACCCAUGCCCACAUACCCUGGGACCCUGGACCUCCACCUCAGGAAGCAGCCACCAUAAAAGGAGAUUAAGAUAAAAGAGGACAUAACAACACAGAUUAGAACAGAACAAUUUAAGCAAUAUAGUGUUUCUCCACAAGAUAACCCGACAUAACAGUAGUUACCAUAGUGUCUCUUUCCUUGAAAUAUUUGUGUAUAUCUUUGUAUUCUGUAGCAUCAAACAUAACAAGACAGUGUAAAACUAUUCAAGAGAAUGAAAGUAUUACAGGGUAUUUAGAACCAACUAACAGAAAAUGAACAAUGGUUUUGAUAUUAUCACCUUGUCUAUAAAAAUUUUUAUUUAUACUAUCACAUAUAAUAAAAUACAAUAAGAUAAAACAUGAUAAAACCGAUGGAGACAGAAGAACAAAAGCUUGAUGGAACUUCAAAACAAGAUAUUAAAACAGCACUACCUAUUAUAAUGUCUUCUUUUCUUCAAAAUGGCUGUUUAUACCAUCACAGACAAUAAAAUCAAACAACCCACAAUAAAACUAUUCCAAUUAAUGAAUGCAAACAUUAUAAGGCUUCAAAGCAAUAUAAUGGGGAAUCAUGAUUACCACAUACUUUUGUGUAUUCUUGCCAUUUCUAACACUAGGGAAACUAUUCAGUAUUUUUACAUGUGAAUCUGAUUUGUUUCACUUAUGAAUAUGGUCUCAACCUGCAUCCAUUUAUUUAUAAAUAUUUCAAUGUGAUCAUUCUUUAUAGCUGAGUAGUACUCCAGUGUAUAAAAAUACCACAUCUUUUUUAUCCAUUCCGCAGUUGAUGGACACUUAGGUUGUUUCCAAGAUUUGGCUAUUACAAAUUGUGCUGCUAUAAAUAUGGGUGCACAUAUAUCACUGUGGAAUGAUGUUUUCAGUUCUAGGAAUAUGCCUAGAAGUAGAAUAGCUGGAAAAAAUGGGGCUUCCAAUCUCAGCAUUUUGAGAAAUCUCCAGACUGACCUCCACAAAGGCUGCACCAUUGCUGGAUGCUAGAUGCACUGAUGCUGGACGCACCCAGCAACAGUGCAGGGUAGUUCCUUUUUCCCCACAGCCUCUCCAGCAUUUGUUGUUGGUAGUUUUCUUGAUCCUGGCCAUUAUUUCAGGAGUGAUAUGGAAUCUCAGUGUGGGUUUAAUUUGCAGAGUAAUGAUGAUGAACCUUUUUUCAUGUAUUUAUUUGCCAUUUGUAUUUCUUCAUCUGAGAGCUACAUAUUCAUCUCAGAUGCCCAUUUUUGGAUUGGAUCUUUGAAUUUUGAGGGUCUGAUUUUUUUAAUUCUUUAUAUGUUUUAGACAGAAGUCCUUUGUCUGAGGGACAGUUCAAUAAUAUUUUUUCCCAUAUUGUGGGUUUUCUUUUCAUUUUUGCUGGAGAUUUUUUUUUUUUUUGACAUGCAGAAACCUUUUAACAUGAGGUGAUCUCAGUUACUGAUUCUGGGAAAUAUUUCCCAUGCAGUUUGAUUCCUGUUCAUGAAUUCUCUCCCUACCCCUAUGUCUCCAAGGUUUUUUGCAAUUUGUCAUCCAAUACAUUUAGUGUUUCUGUUUUAAUAUUCAGAUCUUUAAUCCAUUUAGAUUUUAAUUUAGUACAUGGUGAUAGGCAUGGGUCUAGUUUUAGUUUUUGUUAUGUGGAGAGCCAGUUUUUCCAACAUCAUUUAUUAAAGUGGCUGACAUACUUUCAGUGAACUUGUUGGGCCCCUUUAUCAAAGAUAAGGUGAUAGAGUGUGUUUGUAGUUGUGGAUGUAUCUUCUAAUCUAUUCCACUGAUCUUUGGCUCUGUUUUGAUUCCAGUACCAUGUUGAUUUUACUACAGUUGCUUUGUAGUAUAACUUUAAGUCAGGGAUUGUGAUGCCUCCUGCCUUGUCUUUGCUGCUUAGAACUAUCUUUGCUAUUCUAGGUCUCUUCUGGGUUCAGAUGAAUUUUUGGAGUGAUUUCUCUAGAUCUAUGUCGUAUGUUGAUGGUAUUUUUUGUCAUAUGUUGAUGAUAUGUUGAUGGUGUUGGGACUGCAUUGAAUCUGUAUAACAGUUUUGGGAGAAUGGCCAUUUUCUCAAUAUUUAUUCUUCCGGUCUCAUUUUAUAAGAUACUUUGCAAUUUCUUUAUUCAGUAUAUUAUAAUUUUCCCUAUGUAGAUCUUUCAUAGCUUUUGUGAGAAUAAUUUCUAAAUAUUUAAUAUGUUUGGUUACUAGUGUGAAGGGUGCGGCUUCUCUUAUUUCUCUGUUAGUGAUUUUAUUGUUAGUGUAUAGGAAUGCUAUUGAUCUCUAAGUAUUGAUUUUGUAUCCAGCUACAUUACUGAAUUUAUUUAUUAUAUCUAAGAGUCCUUUAAUGGAGUUUUGGGGGUUUUCUAUGUAGAUUAUCAUGUCAUCUGCAAAUAAUGAUAAUUUAACUUCCUCUUUUCCUAUCUUUACCCCUUUUAUUUCUCUUGCUUGUCUAAUUUCUCUGUCUAGUAUUUCCAGUACUAUAUUAAAUAGUAAGUAUUGCCAGUACUAUAUUAAAUGUCCCUUAUUAGGGACAUCCUUAUCUUGUGCCUGAUUUUAAGGUAAGAGCAUUCAGUUUUUGGCCAUUUAGUAUGAUAUUGGCAGUUGGUUUAUCAGAUAUGGCCUUUCUUAUACCGAAGUAAAGACCAUCUAUUUCAAUUUUCUGUAAGGCUCUUACCAUGAAUGAAUGUUGGACCUUACCAACAGCUUUUUCUGCAUCUUUAGAAAUGAUUUUGGCUUUAUUUAUAUGGUGGAUUACAUUUAUUGAUUACGUAUGUUGAACCAUCCCUGCAUGCCUGGGAUAAAUCCCACCUGGUCAUGAUGUAUAAUAUUCAUGGUGAUUUGCUGCAUCCUGUUUGCCAAUAUUUUAUUGAGGAUUUUUGCAUCUAUUUUCAUUAGGGAGAGAGAUCUGUAGUUCUCUUUUUUAUUUGGGUCUUUCCCAGGUUUUGGUAGUGGAGUAAUAUUUGAUUCCAAGAAUGACUUAGGAAGGAUUGCUUCCCUUUCAAUUUCAUUGAAAAGUUGAGGAGUGUCGGCAUUAAGUUUUCUUUGUACUUGUAGAAUUCUACCGUGAAUCUGUCUGGGCCUGGGCUCUUCUUGUGGGUAAUGACUUAAUUACAUUUUAAAUUUCAUUAAUAGAAAUUGAGUUAUUCAGCAGUUUUACAUCUUCAUGACCUAGCUUUGGUACUUCAUAUGUUUCUAGGAAUCUGUCUAUUUCUUCUGUUAUCAAGCGUAUGAGAGUAGAGGUUUUUGAAAUAGGUGUUGAUGAAAUUCUGUAUUUCUACAGAGUCUAUAGUGAUUUCACCUUUUUCAUUUCUUACUGCAUUAAUUGAGCUAUUUCUUCCCUUUUUCAAAUAAGGUUGGCUAGGGGCUUAUCAAUUUUAUUUAUUCUUUCAAAGAACCAACUCUUUGAUUCAUUGAUUCUUUGGAUUAUUUUCUUAGUCUCUAUUGCAUGAAUUUCUGCUCUCAUUAUCAUAAUUUCCUCUCUUCUUUUGGCUUUGGCCUUGACUUGUUCUUCUCUUUCUAGAUGUUUGAGGUGUAACAUCAGGUUAUUUAUUUGUAUUCAUUCUGUUUUCCUCAUCUGGGAAGUCAGUGCAAUAAAUUGUCCUCUGAGGACAGCUUUCAUUGUAUCCCACAGAUACCUGUAAAUUGUAUUUGUGUUUUCAUUUGCUUGUAGGUAUUUUUUUAAUUUCCCCUGUGGCCCAAUGAUUACUCAAGAAUGUAUUAUUCAGUUUCCAUGUGUUUGUGGGAUUUUUGCAGUAUCUUUUAUCUUGAAAUUUCUAACUGCAUGGCACUAUGAUCCGAUAACAUGCAAGGGAUAAUUUCACCUCUUUUGCAUUUAUUUAAGUAUGUUCUGUGAGCUAAUAUAUGGUAUAUUUUAGAGAAUGAUCCAUGUACUGCUGAGAAGAAUGUGUAUUCUGAUGUUGUUGGAUGGAACACUCUGUAUAUAUCUAUCAGGUCCAUUUGUUCAGAGUGUGAUUCAGUUCUGUUAUGUCUUUGCUGAUUUUCUGUCUGGGUCAUCUGUCCCUUGGUGUUAAUGGUGUGUUAAGGUCUCCUGUUAUAAUUGUGUUACUGCUAAUUUUGUUUUUCAUUUCUGCUAAUACUUGUUUUAUAUAACUGGGUUCUCCAGAAUUUGGUGUAUAUAUAUUUGAGAUUGUUCUAUCUUCCUCUUGAAGUUUUCCCUUUACCAGUAUGUAAUGACCUUCUUUAUCUCUUCUGAUCAUUCUUUUUUUGAAGUUCACAUUGUCUGCAAACAGAAUAGCUACCCCCACUUUGGGGGGGAGGGUUCCUAUUGCAGGAAGUAUUGUUUUCCAUGCUUUGACUUUCAGUCUGUGAGUAUUCUUUUGGGUUAUAUGGGUUUCUUUUAGACAGCAUAUUCUUGGAAUCUUUUUUUUUUUUUUUUGAUCCAUUUUUCCAGUCUGUUUUUUUUAAUUGGUGCAUUGAUACUAUUUACAUAAAUGGUUAUAACAUUUAUAUGUUAGUUUAUUGUUGACAUGUUAUCUUUCUGCUGCUGCAUCUUUAUCUUUCUGUUCUGUUUGUCUGCUUUGCUUAGUGACUUUUUCCUAAUAGUAUCUAAACUCUCUUUCAGUACUCUUUGCAGGGUUGACUUGGUGAUCAUGAAGUUCUUCAGGUGUUCUUCGUCAUGAAAGAAUCUUAUUUUUCCAUCAAUUUUGAAGGACAUUUUUUUCAGGUUAGUUAUCAGUCUAGGUUGGAAAUCAUUUUCCUUUAGGAUCUGAAAUACUUCCCUCCAUGAUCUUCUUGACUUUAUUUUUUGUGUUGAGAAGUCUGCUGUGAUUCUGAUAGGUUUUCCUUUAUAGGUGAUCUGUCUUUUCUCUCUGACAGCUUUUAAUAUUCUAUUCUUAUGUUGAAUUUCUGGGAUGGUGAUUAUUAUAUGUCUGGAUGUAGUUUUAUUUUGGUUAUGGCUAUUUGAAGUUCUAUAUGCUUCACUGAUCCUGAUGUCAGUUUACAAUCUCAUGUUUGGGAAAUUUUUAGGUAUUACUUCUCUAAAUAUCCUCUUGACAUCUUUAUCUUGUCCCCUUCUUUUUCAUUUAUCCGUAUCAAUCUUAUGUUGUUUUUCUUUGGAUUAUCUUGCAGCUGUUGAAUUUUAUGUCCUGAUUCCUUGUUAUUUUUAAAAGAUCUUUCCUUUUCUGUUCACUAGGUGCAAUCUUUUCUUUGAGGUCUGAAAUUCAGUCUUCACUUUCAUUGAGACUUUUUUUUUUAACAGCUUGCAAUGGAAUUUUAGAUUUCCUGUAUCUCUCUUUGUGUCUGCUUUAUGUAUUCUGUUUCUUUCUUAUAUUGUCCUGGAAUCCAAGGAUACAGGGUUUGUACAUUUUUGUUUAGUUCGUCCAGUUUUUAAACUGUGUUUUCUUUAGAUAUGAUCAACAUCUCUUUCACUCUUUCAUUUCUUUUAUCAUUUCUUCUCUUACCUGGGAGAUUAUUUCUAGUUUGAAUUCCUUUAAAGCUUCCCGGAGUUACUUCUUUAUUUCAGUUGCUAUUAUUUAAGGUGUAUGGCAUAUAUUUUCUUCUAUGUACAUAGCUCCUAAGAUUUCUUGGGAUGGGCUGGAGCUUUGAUAUUGUAAUUUUGUCUUUUGUUUUGUCAUUUUCCUAUAUUUCUCUGUUUCAAGUGUUAUUCCAAGUUUUCCCCAGGGCCUGUUGAAAAUCUUCCUAUAUAUCCUCAGCUUUUGGGACUCUGGUGGCCCAGUUCCUCCUAUUGAGAGAUGGUCACUGGGGGUAGGAUACACAGGCCCCAGCCCUGCAUAGCAGGUUGAGUGUGGCAGGAAGCUGUGAAGUUCCUUGGCUGGUGGGAGCAAUGAUCCCAAACUCUCAGGUUUGGAAUGGUGCAGUGAAACUCACCUCAGGCUCCCAGUUUCCAGAAUUUAGGGCACAGGCAGGCCCAAAUCCCUGGAGUCUACCAAACAUGCCAGAAGGCUGGGAAGUUGGUGCAGGCAGGCUCAAGACCUGCUGAGCUGGUCCAGUGCAGCAGGAAGCUGUGAAGUUCCCUGCCCAGGUUGGGAGCUAGGAUCUUAAACUCCUGGGGUUCGGGGGAUGGUGUGGGGACAGUCACCCCAGGCCACCCUGCUUCCCAGAACUGAGGGCACUGGUAGGCCCAAAUCCCCAUAGUCCAGCAAGCACUGCAGGAAGCAGGUCCAUAAAAUAUUCUUAAGGUAAAUAUAAAGGGAUUGAAAUUAUCCCAUGCAUAUUAGCAGACCACAGUGCACUUAAAUUUGAAAUUAAUGGCAAAAGAAAUUGCAAAACCUGAAAAAAUACAUAAAAUUUUUUUUUAAAAAUCACUUGAACAAUCAGUGGGUUUCAGGUGAAAUUAAAAAAGAAAUUGAGCAAUAUCUAAAAAUUCAAUGAAAAAGUAGAUACAAAUACUGAAACAUAUGGGAUGCAAUGAACGUGGUUCUAACAGGGGAGUAUAUAGCAAUAAACUGUCAUAUCAAGGAAACAGAAUGAGCAAAAGUAAAUAACAUAGUGCUACAUCUCAAGCUUCUAGAACGAGAAGAACAAGUCAAACCCAAAGUUUAUUAAACAAAGGAAACUAUAAACAUCAGAGCACAAAUUAAUGCAAAAAAUACAAAGAAUAAAUGAAUCAAAGUGCUGGUUUUUGAGAGAAUAAACAGAAUUGAUAAACCUCUAGCCAAACAUAAAGUAAAAGAAAAAAAAAGUCAAAUUCAUGAAAUAAGGACUGAAAGGAGAGAAAUUAAUACAGAUCCCAUGGAAAUUCAAUAGAACAUGAGCACCUACUUUGAAAAUCUUUAUUCACAUAAGUUGAAAAAAAAAAAAAAACAGAGGAAAUGGACAGAUUUCUAGAAAUGUAUGAACUACCAAAGCUCAAUCAAGAAGAUAUAACAAAUAUAAAUAACCUAUUAACAGCUAUUGACAUUGAUAAUGUGAUUCAAAGCCUACCAAAAACAAACAAAAAAAAUUUUUUUUGAUGGAUUCACGGUCAUGAUGGUCAUGAUGGAUUCACAGCUGAAUUCUACAACAAAUUUAGAGAAGGUUUAACACCAAUACUCCUCAAACUCUUCAAAGAAAUUGAAAGGGAAGCAAUGCUUUCUAACUCAUUCCUGGAGGAAAGUAUUACUCUGAUAUUGAAAUCAGAGAACGACCCAACCAAAAAGGAGAACUAUACGCCAACCUCACCAAUGAACAGUGAUGCAAAGAUUCUCAAUAAAAUACUGGAAAACUGAAUGCAGCAAAUCAAGAAGAUUAUACAUCAUGACUGACUGGGAUUUAUCCCAGGAAUGCAUGAUGGUUCAACAUACACAAAUCAAUAAAUGUAGUAUCAACAGAGUCAAAAACUAAAAACACAUGAUCAUCUCAAUAAAUGCAGAAAAAGCUUUUGAUAGACUCCAACAUUUAUUCAUGAUAAGGUCCCUACAAAAAUUCAGAAUAGUUGGUAUGUACUAACAGCCAACAUUAUAAUAAAUGUAAAAAAACAGAAGUUUUUCACUAUAAAAUCAGGAACAAGACAAAAAUGUCCACUAUCACCAAUCCUAUUCAAUAUAGUUCUGGAAAUAUUAAGCAGAGCAAUCAUACAAGAAGGAUAAAUAAAAUAAAUAAAGAUAGAAAAUGAAGAAUUUCAGUUAUCACUAUUUGCAAAUGACAUGAUACUCUACAUAGAACACUCCAAAAAUUCCAUUAAAAGACCACUAGAGUUAAUAAACAAAUUCAGAAGUGUAGCUCAAUACAAAGUCAACACUCAAAA